rnacentral:lncRNA from 1 species
AAAAACUGGAGUUUUAGAGUUAUAGAAAUGUUAAAAUUGUAUAAUUAUGAGCAAUAUUGUAAUUUUGAAUUAAAUGUAUUGAACAAAAAUUGUAUUAAACAAAUUGAAGAAGAUGUAUUUGAUAAUUUUAAAUCAAAUUGGUGUACAAGAGUUGCUGCAUAUGCAGAGGGAAGUAAAUUGAGGACUUACAAAUUGUUUAAAAAUAACUAUUGUACUGAAAAUUAUUUGCAAAAUAUUAUGUCAUUAAAAAACAGAAGUUCAUUUGCUAAAUUUAGAUGUGGGGUAGCUCCACUAAAAAUAGAAACUGGAAGAUAUUACAGGAAAGAAGUCCACGAGAGGACAUGUUUUAACUGUAGCUCUAUUGUUGAAGAUGAACUACAUGUCAUUUUAAAAUGCCCAUUGUAUGUGGAUCUAAGACAAAUCAUGAUACAUGAAGCGGUACAUUUUAAUGAACAUUUUAACCUUUUAUCAGAUAAUGAAAAAUUUAUAUUUUUAUUUAGUAAUGGCAAUGUUGCUGCUAUAGUUGCCAAAACCUGCAAC